UGGCCAUAUCACGUUGAAAUUCCUCUUCCCGUACGAUCAAUGAAGUUAAGCAACGUUGAGCCUGCUCAGUACCUAGAUGGGUAUCCGCUCGGAAAUACCAGUUGC